rnacentral:rRNA from 1 species
UACGGAGGGUGCGAGCGUUGUCCGGAAUCACUGGGCGUAAAGGGCGCGUAGGCGGCCUGAUAAGUAGGGGGUGAAAUCCUGCGGCUUAACCGCAGGGCUGCCUUCUAAACUGUCAGGCUAGAGCACAGUAGAGGCAGGUGGAAUUCCCGGUGUAGCGGUGAAAUGCGUAGAGAUCGGGAAGAACAUCGGUGGCGAAAGCGCUCUACUGGACGGUAUCUGACACUGAGGGACGAAAGCUAGGGGAGCGAAUGGG